rnacentral:rRNA from 1 species
AGUCAUAUGCUUGUCUCAAAGAUUAAGCCAUGCAUGUCUAAGUACAAGCCUCACUAAGGUGAAACCGCGAAUGGCUCAUUAAAUCACACCUAAUCUACUGGAUAGAAAAAAGUUACUUGGAUAACUGCGGUAAUUCUGGAGCUAAUACAUGCACAAAGCCUCAACCUUACGGGAGAGGCGCUUUUAUUAGAUCAAAACCAAACGGCUUCGGCUGUACUCUUGGUGACUCUGAAUAACUUUGGGCUGAUCGCAUAGCCUUGAGCUGGCGACAUAUCCUUCGAAGGUGUGCCCUAUCAACUGUCGACUGUGGCAUAGACGCCCACAGUGGUUUUGACGGGUAACGGGGAAUCAGGGUUCGAUUCCGGAGAGGGAGCCUUAAAAACGGCUACCACAUCUAAGGAAGGCAGCAGGCACGCAAAUUACCCAAUGACCGAAGGUCGAGGUAGUGACGAAAAAUAACGAUAGAGGACUCAUCCGAGGCCCUCUAAUUGGAAUGAGUACACUUUAAAACCGUUUCCGAGGAUCUAUUGGAGGGCAAGUCUGGUGCCAGCAGCCGCGGUAAUUCCAGCUCCAAUAGCGUAUAUUAAAGUUGUUGUGGUUAAAAAGCUCGUAGUUGGAUCUCAACAGUCUUGAAGCGGUCAACUUUGUAGUUGUACUGCUUUGUAGACUGUGCUUUUGCUGGAGGUUUAGGGGUGCUCUUAAUCGAGUGUCUCUGGAUGCCAGCAGGUUUACUUUGAAAAAAUUAGAGUGCUCAAAGCAGGCUAAAAUGCCUGAAUAUUCGUGCAUGGAAUAAUAGAAUAGGAUGUCGAUCCUAUUUUGUUGGUUUUCGGGACUUGACAUAAUGAUUAAUAGGGACAGUCGGGGGCAUUUGUAUUCAAACGACAGAGGUGAAAUUCUUGGACCGUUUGAAGACAAACUACUGCGAAAGCAUUUGCCAAGAAUGUUUUCAUUAAUCAAGAACGAAAGUUAGAGGUUCGAAGGCGAUUAGAUACCGCCCUAGUUCUAACCAUAAACGAUGCCAGCUAGCGAUCUGCCGCUGUUUUUACUGUAGACUCGGCAGGAAGCUUCCGGGAAACCAAAGCAUUUGGGUUCCAGGGGAAGUAUGGUUGCAAAGCUGAAACUUAAAGGAAUUGACGGAA